GUGUUUGCUUUGGCAGCACAAAUGCUGAAAUUGGAACCACACAGAGAAGGUUAGCAUGGCUUCUCUGUGGGGAUGGCAUGCAAACUUGUGAAGCAUUCCCUAUUUUU
rnacentral:snRNA from 1 species